GACUCUAAUGCUGGGAGGGAUUGAGGGCAGGAGGAGAAGGGGAAGACAGAGGAUGAGAUGGCUGAAUGGCAUCACUGACUCGAUGGAUGUGAGUCUGAGUGAACUCCGGGAGUUGGUGAUGGACAGGGAGGCCUGGCGUGCUGUGAUUCACGGGGUCACAAAGAGUUGGACACGACUGAACAACUGAACUGAACUGAACUGAACUUCAUCCUUUCGUAUUUAUUACUUGCUCCUGACCCUUUCCCCUAUCAUGCCCCUUUCUUCCUCCCAGCCCACAGUGCCAGAAGAAACGUGGGGACAUGUCAUCGUAGAUUUGACCGCCACACCGCUGGGUCUUGAUUCCACAUCGGGCGCCAUGAUGCUGUUACCUGUGCUGGCCAUACAGGGCAUGCUGGGGGCUCUGAUUUGUGUGAUCAUUUGCUCAGCGGCCCCCUCUGUGACACAGGCAGUGGAGACUACACCUACCCUUUCAGGAAUGACUCCCUGGAGUGAGUAGCAUUUAUGGCCUUGGGUCAGUGUGUAACAUAUAAGAUGAUGCAGUGAUGACC
rnacentral:lncRNA from 1 species